rnacentral:rRNA from 1 species
CCGUGACUCUCGCCGAAUUGGGCCCUACAAUAAAUAAAAAGAUACCCAUGAGAAGGGGAGGCAUGGCGUUACAUGGAAAGUGUACCGGGAGGUGCGCUUG